rnacentral:lncRNA from 1 species
CUCGGGGUUGUAUAGAGAUCUUGAUUUGUAAUCGCCGAACCUCUUGUUUAAGAUCUAUUUAUUAUUUAUCAUAUCUUGAUGAUGCUCUUUCACAUAAUGGCUGGCCAGUGCUACUUUGGGUUGCUUAUUUGCUUACCUAGAAUGAUCAUCAAGCAGUGUUCUUAUCGUUCAAUAUUUGAGUACUCUUGUGUAGUGACAACGUGCGAGAGGGAAAGUGUUGGGCAUGGUUCACAUCCACUCACAAUAACACUUAGAUCAAGUUCUUUCAUGCAUGGUGAUUACAUCUAUAAGUGAUCCUAGAUCCCUAGGACAAGCAUUUU